rnacentral:rRNA from 1 species
AUUGAACGCUGGCGGCAUGCUUUACACAUGCAAGUCGAACGGUAACAGGUUAAGCUGACGAGUGGCGAACGGGUGAGUAAUGCAUCGGAACGUGCCCGGUCGUGGGGGAUAACGCAGCGAAAGCUGCGCUAAUACCGCAUACGAUCUAAGGAUGAAAGCGGGGGACCGUAAGGCCUCGCGCGAUCGGAGCGGCCGAUGGCAGAUUAGGUAGUUGGUGGGGUAAAGGCUCACCAAGCCAACGAUCUGUAGCUGGUCUGAGAGGACGACCAGCCAGACUGGGACUGAGACACGGCCCAGACUCCUACGGGAGGCAGCAGUGGGGAAUUUUGGACAAUGGGCGAAAGCCUGAUCCAGCAAUGCCGCGUGAAGGAAGAAGGCCUUCGGGUUGUAAACUGCUUUUGUACGGAGCGAAAAGGUCUCCUCUAAUACAGGGGGCUCAUGACGGUACCGUAAGAAUAAGCACCGGCUAACUACGUGCCAGCCGCCGCAGUAA